UUGGCCAAGUAUGAUUCCCCCUUGCUGACUACUCCCAAAGACCUUAUUUUCUUUUACUUGCUGUUUGAUGACCACCAGAAUGUUAUCUUCCAUCACCUUUCCAGGGAUGGAGGUGAGGCUGACUGCCCAGCAGUUUUCCUGGGUCCUCUUCUUGCUCAUUUUGAAGACAGGUGUGACAUUUGCUCCAGUCAAAAGGUGGUUGUUUUCUAAUACCAGAUUCCUGGGUCAACAGAAACAAACAGGUUUUUUUAAUCCAGCUGGUGCUUCUGUGCAUCUGGAGCUAUGGUGAUCCAUAGCUGCAUCCAGGAAAAAUCCCCAAACAUCUCCUCUACCACAUAUGAAAGACUGGACCCUCUCAUCCAGUCUGAGGUAUUUUCAAAUUUAAUUUUACCUUAUAAGCUGCUCACCCCAAACUUCCCUUGCUCUUCCUUCACUGGGCAACCUUUUAAAUCACAGAUGUUGAAAUGCUGACUCUCUUUAUCUUGCCCAUUAGGGCCAGUUGCCUUUGGGAGUUCUUAAUGGAGUGGGAUGACAGGGGAAAGGGAUAUGGCAAAACACUUCUACUCCAAGACUAGGAAAUAUGCAACUCCUGUUUUCCUGUGGAUCCAAGGAUUUGGGGAGUGCUUAGAACACAGCAAGAUUCUCUGGAUGAAUGGAUGAGUGUUUAAGCAGAUCUUGAUGUAAGAACGAACAGGAUGCAAUCUGAGGAGGAUGAAGCCCUGCACUCAUUCAGGAAUAGUCAUUAUCACCAUCCAUGGAGGAAUUUAACAGUGUGCCUCCAGGUGUGAAAAAAAUAGAAGCCUUGCUGACAAGCAGAGAACAAUGAGCUGAAAUAAAGAAAUAUUGAAACCUGGAAGAGCAAAAAGUUAAACAGAAAGGAAAAAAAACUACCAGGGCAUUAUGUGGAUGGAGAAAGCGGGAGAGAACUGCAAUGAACUACUCCCCCUCAGGAACAAACUUCCAUUAUUUGGGCAUGCCAAGGUGGAGGAAUUGUUUUUGUGUUUUAGCACUGUAAGACCUUGUCAUCUCCUCAGCAGCAAGACAGGGGAGCUGUGAGAUACUAACACAGGCCCAGCAGUUGCCAGUGACAAAACAGGCUUUUUUGAGCUCUGCUGCACGUUAAGAGCAACUCCCCUACACUGCAUGUGGGAAAGACUUGCCAGAGCAAGAGCACAUGUAGUGAGAGCUGCAAAAUCAAUGCUGAAUCCCUUCUCUAAUUACAAGUCAUGUGAGAAAUCCUCAGCUGGGAAUAUUGUGAAGAGCCUGUCAUCUUGUUAGCUGAACUAGUCAAGAUGCCAACCGUCUGCAAGUAUAAAGAAAAUUACAGACUUCAAGAAGUCCAGAGGAAGGACACUUCUUUUUCAAUGGAGUCACUGCAAACUUUAUAAAUGCCUUUGUGGCCUUUUAUCAUCAAUACAUAUGCCCAAGUAUCUCCUUGAAAAAUUUUGGCUUCCGUCUGCAACCUUUGUUUUUAAAGGUGAGCAGCAGCAGAAGGAAAUGCAAGCUAAAGCUGAAAGUCUGAGGGUGGUUACUUUCAAUAAAUGAAAGUUUUCUUAGAAUUUCCUCAUUGUGAGAUGCAAGGAACUGCCUUAAUGGUACUCUGAUUUAAUCUCUUGUAUAUUGUUUGGAUUUGUGUUCAACGGUAAAGGAGCCACAAGGGAGUCCUUUAGUUUUACCUGAAUGUGUUUUGCAUUUCAUGGGUUAACUGCAGCAAUUGUUUGAAUUUCUCUGGUACUUGCCUCGCUCUAAAAUAUCUACUUGGAAUCAAUCAUACAGCUGUGGUCUGGACAAGAUCCCUACAGUUGUCCAGUCCAACCAUCCACUCCAAACAAGACCACUGGUCAGUCCUGGCUUUGUCUUGCUGGGUCUUGGAAACCUUCAUGGCUGGAUCCUCCAUCACCUCUCCGUUACCUGUCCCAGGGCAGCACCACUGUCCUGGUAGGUCUGCUCUUCCUCUGCUUGAGUCCUUCUACUUUUUGGAACAAUCAUUAAUUGAUUAAAUAUUAUUCCAUAUGCUGAUUUUUCUUUCUCCCUCUGUUUUGUAGUUAGAUGAGUACAAUCCUUCAAGGUUCCCUUCAGCAUUGUCACUGCUGUGGCCUUAAGUGGAUGGCAUGGGUAGAUCUACUGGGUAGGACACCUUGGUUAUUUCCUUUUCAAACACAAGUGGAUCCUUGAUACUCAGAUAUCAGAUUUCUAAACUCAUAAAUAUGAACUAAACUAUAGUACUUAUGUGCCUGAAGAGCAAAACUUAUCAAGUCUUCUCUAAAACUAUUUAUUUUUUGAAUUUAUAAUGGUCCAGUGUAAAAUGCCAGGGGUUUGCAUCUGCAAACUCAGUUUUGCUCCCUCUCAAAUUAAUGCUGAUACUGGUAGUUACUUUGUGCAUGUGUCCCAUCAUAUAUCACAACAUUUCAAUAAUGUGUACAUAUCUGACUUACUGAUUCAUAGAUGUCAUGUCACUUUCCAUCACGACACAAUGAAAUUAUCCAUUCCCUAUUGUUUAUAUGUCAUUGAAGAUUAAUAUAUUCUAGAAAAGAUGCAGAUGCCUCUGCCUACCUUUGAAAUGCAAAAAGAAUUGACAGGCACUUGAUUUCAAGUGUUUUUGUUGAGUGUUUUGUCAUGUCAAUGCAAGCAACCUCCCUUGCUGCUUCUUAAAUUUAAGUAUUACUUUUGCAUUUUUGUCAGCCUAUUUUUGGUGGCAUUGAAAUAAACUUGUAAUUAUUGGUGAAAAGGAACUUCUACUGAACUGUGCUAAAAAAGUCUUCAGACUUCUAUGCUACCUGGAAAGAGUACAGAGAAUUCUUGAAUAAUAAGUUUCAAAUUCAAGACCCUUCAUCUGGAAAUACCUGUUUAUAGAUGCCUAAAUCUUGACAUCUGAACUUGUGAAUACAUCUCCCCCUCAGGCCACGUGUAUGUUCUAGUUCCUGUGCUACCUCUUCCAGUCCCAUUGAUACAACUCAGCUCUUUGUUGUGUCAAAAAACAGUGAGUACCAAAUUUCUAGAUUAAA